UGAAGUGUAUGGGUUGAGGAUUCCUGACUGGUGUAAGGAUCGUGUCAACACGACACCGUGGUGUAUCUGUACAGCCGUAGUGUAUCUGUAUGGUAUAGCCGUGGUUGAUCACACGAACCAGGGAAAUCGGAAGGCUUCUACUUACCAGAGAUCUGUAAAGUUGAAGUAACGGGACUCAAGUUCACAUCCAUGGUGUCACCACAGGCGAGAGUCGGACCACAGGCCCAAGCCACAGUCCCACCACAGGCUAGGCGAGAGUCGGACCACAGGCCCAAGCGACAGUCCCACCACAGGCCCAACUGAGAGUCACAGCACAGGCUCGGGAAAGAGUCGUACCUCAGUCCCAGGUGGGAGUCGCAGAUCCAUCGCGUAUACUGGUGCCAUGUCAGCCGAAAUAAAGACACCUUCUAACAAUA